CUCAGGAUGAACGCUAGCGGCAGGCUUAAUACAUGCAAGUCGUGGGGCAGCAGGUUUGUAGCAAUACAGAUGCUGGCGACCGGCAAACGGGUGCGGAACACGUACAGAACCUUCCUUUGAGCGGGGAAUAGCCCAGAGAAAUUUGGAUUAAUACCCCAUAGUAUAAUGAAGUGGCAUCACUUUAUUAUUAAAGAUUUAUCACUCGAAGAUGGCUGUGUGGCUGAUUAGGUAGUUGGCGGGGUAAAGGCCCCACCAAGCCUGCGAUCAGUAACUGGUGUGAGAGCACGACCAGUCACACGGGCACUGAGACACGGGCCCGACUCCUACGGGAGGCAGCAGUAAGGAAUAUUGGUCAAUGGAGGCAACUCUGAACCAGCCAUGCCGCGUGGAGGAUGAAGGUCCUCUGGAUUGUAAACUUCUUUAUAUGGGACGAAAAAAGGCUUUUCUAAGUCGUCUGACGGUACCAUAUGAAUAAGCACCGGCUAACUCCGUG
rnacentral:rRNA from 1 species